GAGUUUGAUCCUGGCUCAGAAUGAACGUUGGUGGUCGACUUAACACAUGCAAGUCAAACAAAUUUUCUAGUUAUAAAUUAGUGGCGAACGGGUGAGUAAAGUAUAGAAAUUAACCUUAAAAAUCUUGUUAGAUGCAAAAAAAAUUUAUUUGUUCUGAGAAUAGUCUAUAAUUAGGAUUAAGUAGUUGGUUAUUUAAAAGAUUACCAAGCUUAUGAUCCUUAGCUGGUCUUUGAGGAUAAACAGCCACAUUGGAAUUGAGAUAAGGUCCAAACUUUAUAUUUAAGGCAGCAGUGAGGAAUAUUGGGCAAUGAGCUAAAGCUUGACCCAGUCAGACCAUGUGUGUGAAGAAGGUAAUAUAUCGUAAAACACCAAAACUUAUAUUUAACAAUGAUUUUAUAGGUAAAAAAAUCCUGGCUAAUUUCGUGCCAGCAGCCGCGGUAAAACGGGAAGGGUUAGCGUUAUUCGGAUUUAUUGGGCGUAAAGCAUAUUUAGGUGGAAAACUUCAUUUUUAUUCAAAUUUUAAAUUUAACUUUUAAGUUUUUUUAAUCAGAGUUUUCUAGAGUUUAAUUGAAAGUUAUAGAAUUUUAAUUGUAACGGUAAAAUGUUUUGAUAUUUAAAAGAAUCUCGAUAGCGUAAGCAAUAACUUAGGUUAAUACUGACACUACAAUAUCAAAGUGUGGGUAGCGAAAGGGAUUAGAUACCCCUGUAGUCCACACCGUGAACGAUGAGUGUUUAUUAUUGGGUAUAUUAUCAGUAAUGUAGUUAACGCAUUAAACACUCCGCCUGGGGACUACGAUUGCAAAAUUAAAACCCAAAGGAAUUGACGGGAACCUACACAAGCAGUGGAGCAUGUGGUUUAAAUCGAAAAUACGCGUGGAAUCUUACCAACUCUUGCAUGAUUCUUGAUCACAGGUGUUGCAUGGCUGUCGUCAGUCCGUGCUUUGAAGCGUUUGGUUUAUUCCAAUAAACGGACAAAACUUUCGUAUGUUAUAAAACAUAGAUUUCUAAAGAUAUUUUAGAGGAAGUUGAAAAUGAUGUCAAGUCUUCAUGACCCUCAUGAGUUGGGCUACUUUCAUGUGCUACAAUAGUUUUUUUAGCGAGAAGCGAAGAUGCGAAUCCGAGCAAAUCUUAAAACAAAGCUUUAAUUAGAUUACUUUCUGAAACUCGAAAGUAUGAAGUUGGAAUUGCUAGUAAUCGCGAAUGAGAAUGUUGCGGUGAAUAAGUUCUUAGGUUUUGUACACACCGCCCGUCACACUAUGGAAAUUCUUAUUACUCGAAGCUCGUUAAAGUAGUUUAAGGUAAUAGAAAAACUGAAGUGAAGUCGUAACAAGGUAGCCGU
rnacentral:rRNA from 1 species